UUUUACUACACAUUUUUCUACUCGUUUAUUUCGUACUUCUAUAAAAAGGCAUCAAGGAAUAAUUAUCAAAAGCAAGGCAUUGAUUAAGAGCAACAGCAAUAGUUGCUGUGGUUGAAUGAAUGCAAAUGAAGUCAAUAGCAAUGCACUACACAAGGCGUAUUUAUAUGGUGGCCGCAUCGGCGAAUUGCUACAGCAAAGCAUCUUUAUUGGGAACGUGACGUCAAAAUUUGUAAACAGGACAAAGAAAAUUCAAUCGCCGUGACAUUUAAAUUUUUAAUUAUUUUUUUGUAUUUGCAAUAAACCACCAAGAUGGCAGGUUUAAAUAACCUGUUGGUUAUUGUAACGGUAAA